AAGUUUCUACACAUAUAAACAAGCAUCACAGAGUUGGUUUCAUAUUUUUCCUACUUUUCUUCUAUUUAUUAGGAUUUAAAAGGCCUAAACCAUGAUUAAAAGCAUAGGAUAUUAUUUACCAUAGUAACAUGAGCAAACUUAUUUUUCUUAGAAACUAGACAGAUCAAGGAUUCCAACAAAAGUGGUUUGGUAUUUUUGUAAUUUUUCUAUGAUUUACUGGGCAUUUCCAAAGUUAAAGCCUUUUUCUGCCUAUUAUUAAAAGAAAAGCCAUGGCAGACUUGCAAGCUAGCCCCUAGGUUUAUGGUUAAACUAUGCAAAGGUCUCUGAGUUUUGCACCCAGACCCCUGGAAAGAAAGGGGACGAUGCAAUGUGGCCCCCGGGGCGCGCGCGACAGCGGCGGGAAAAUUCCCGGCGGUUCGCCGGCGAUGUUGGGACGACAAGUAGCCGGGAGGGCGCGGGGGCUCACCUAAGCUUGGUUUGGCAGGGUUGGUGCGACGGAGAUGGCUGGUGGGAAGUGGAACACGGCGGCGGUGGCGGAGCUCGGCUGGCGGCGGUGCAGGCGGCGUUCCGGC
rnacentral:lncRNA from 1 species